rnacentral:rRNA from 1 species
GCAAGUCGAGCGCACCUUCGGGUGAGCGGCGGACGGGUUAGUAACGCGUGGGAACGUACCCUUCGGUAUGGAAUAGCCUCGGGAAACUGAGAGUAAUACCGUAUACGCCCUUCGGGGGAAAGAUUUAUCGGUGAAGGAUUAGCCCGCGUAAGAUUAGAUAGUUGGUGGGGUAAUGGCCUACCAAGUCUACGAUCUAUAGCUGGUUUGAGAGGAUGAUC